rnacentral:rRNA from 1 species
UUUAGCGAUAACGAACGAGACCUUAACCUGCUAAAUAGCCCGGCUAGCUUUGGCUGGUCGCUGGCUUCUUAGAGGGACUAUCGGCUCAAGCCGAUGGAAGUUUGAGGCAAUAACAGGUCUGUGAUGCCCUUAGAUGUUCUGGGCCGCACGCGCGCUACACUGACAGAGCCAACGAGUUUUCUCCUUGACCGAAAGGUCUGGGUAAUCUUGUUAAACUCUGUCGUGCUGGGGAUAGAGCAUUGCAAUC